GACAGAGGGUGCAAACGUUGCUCGGAAUUACUGGGCGUAAAGCGCGUGUAGGCGGACUGGUGUGUCGGAUGUGAAAUCCCCAGGCUCAACCUGGGAACUGCAUUCGAAACUGCCAGCCUUGAGUGGUGGAGAGGGAAGUGGAAUUCCUGGUGUAGAGGUGAAAUUCGUAGAUAUCAGGAGGAACACCAGUGGCGAAGGCGGCUUCCUGGAGCCCAACUGACGCUGAGACGCGAAAGCGUGGGGAGCAAACCGG
rnacentral:rRNA from 1 species